UCACGCCUGUAAUCCCAGCACUUUGGGAGGCCGAGGCAGGUGGAUCAUGAGGUCAGGAGACCGAGACCAUCCCGGCUAAAACGGUGAAACCCCGUCUCUACUAAAAAUACAAAAAAUUAGCCGGGCGUAGUGGCGGGCGCCUGUAGUCCCAGCUACUUGGGAGGCUGAGGCAGGAGAAUGGCGUGAACCCGGGAGGCGGAGCUUGCAGUGAGCCGAGAUCGCGCCACUGCACU
rnacentral:lncRNA from 1 species